CAAAUCUUUGUGAGCCUGUGUGCCGUGUCAUGUAAGCGGUACACAUAGUCUGUGUAUCGUGUCAUGUAAGCGAUGCGCAGAUACUCACUACAUUAGCACAGGGCCGCAAGGCUCUGAUGUUUACGCUUGUAUGUUUGACAGAGUUAGUUGAGAAAUAAAUAUAGA
rnacentral:misc_RNA from 1 species